rnacentral:rRNA from 1 species
UUAUUGGAGAGUUUGAUUCUGGCUCAGAACGAACGCUGGCGGCGUGGAUUAGGCAUGCAAGUCGAACGAUGCCGCAAGGCAUAGUGGCAAAAGGGCGAGUAACACGUGGGUAACCUACCUCCGAAACCGGGAUAACUUUGCGAAAGCGAGGCUAAUACCGGAUAAGACCACGGUUCAUAAGGACUGUGGUAAAAGGAAGCCUCUAUUUAUAAGCUACCAUUUGGAGAGGGGCCUGCGUCCUAUCAGCUAGUUGGUGAGGUAACGGCUCACCAAGGCUUUUGACGGGUAGCUGGACUGAGAGGUUGGUCAGCCGCACUGGGACUGAGACACUAUGCCUU